rnacentral:tRNA from 1 species
AUAAAGUUAAGUUAGGUUAGACUAAAUGUUUUCAAAACAUUUUGCGACGUUAUUCGUCACUUUAUG